UGAGUAGGCGGUAAUAUGUGUCAGAUGUAAAAGGCUAUGGCUUAACCAUAGUUGGCAUUUGAAACUGUAUUACUUGAGUGCAGGAGAGGUAAGUGAAAUUCCUAGUGUAGCGGUGAAAUGCGUAGAUAUUAGGAGGAACACCAGUGGCGAAGGCGACUUACUGGACUGUAACUGACGCUGAGUCACGAAAGCGUGGGUAGCAAACA
rnacentral:rRNA from 1 species